CGGCGGCAGCAGCUGGUCUCGGUGUAAACAAGUCGAGGCGGUUGCGAACCCGGGCCUGGGGGGACGGCGCCCACCAGGAGCGCCCCCCACUCCCAGGCCAGGCCACCCCAGCGGACCGGGCCCCCGCGCGCCCAGGAGAGGUGAGGCCCACACAGUCAAGGCUGCGCGCCGUUCCGUGCCCCCGCCCGGCCUGUGAGGACUGCCCCUUCCCCCGGCUCCCGCCUCCAACCCCGCGCCCCAGGUGAGCCCCGGGGUCUCAGGUAAGGUUCUGCGAUGCAGGUAAGAUUCCCUCUGCGUAGAUAAGGCCUUAGCACCCUCAGGUAUGAGCCCCUCCCCUCCUAGGUUAUUCUCCACCUUCAGCAAGGCCUCCUGCUUCCUCCAGGUGAGAGACCCUCUCCCAGAUAACUCUCUGCACCUUAAGUGAAGCCCUAGUCACUGUCCAAAUGAGGUGCUAAGGACCAACCAAUUCAUAACCACCACCACCACCCCCUCCAUGCCUCUCCUAAACUGGGAACUGACAGCCCAUCCACUCUAAAGCCCCUUCCUCCAGCUUCAACUGCCAGGUCAGCAGGGGUGAGGCUGGAAGCAGGUGGAUGACUCACCUUGGGCUCCUCCUAGCCUCAGUUUCCCCAUUGAUGCAACCUGGGGCCUCCUCACUGAGUCAAAACUGAAAUGACUCAAGUCCCUGGAGAGGCUCCUGGCUCUGGGGAAAGUAGUGAGCAGCCAAGUGUGACAGAGAGUGCCCAUGGCUCUAGGAGUGCCUGUGUGUGUGUGGUCCAGGUCCUCACAGUCCACUUACUCCUUGGCAGGCACUGGGCUCCCUCUGCUCCCCUUGGGCUGCUCCUCGCGUGGGGCCACUGCCCCCGGCCCCCGCCAUGGUGCGUAUUUCAAAGCCCAAGACGUUUCAGGCCUACUUGGAUGAUUGUCACCGGAGGUAUAGCUGUGCCCACUGCCGUGCUCACCUGGCCAACCACGACGACCUCAUCUCCAAGUCCUUCCAGGGCAGUCAGGGGCGUGCCUACCUCUUCAACUCCGUGGUGAACGUGGGCUGCGGACCAGCUGAGGAGCGGGUGCUGCUGACAGGCCUCCAUGCUGUCGCUGACAUCCACUGCGAGAACUGCAAGACCACUUUGGGCUGGAAAUAUGAACAGGCCUUUGAGAGCAGCCAGAAGUACAAAGAGGGGAAGUACAUCAUUGAACUCAACCACAUGAUCAAAGACAACGGCUGGGACUGACCCCUGCUCCUGGCGCAUGUGGCUCCAGCCCGGCCUGGCCGCCAGGGGGCGCCACUGGCUUAUCUCCGCCAGAAGGGAGCUCUGGACCCUCAAGGCUCCUGCAGAGGAAGGACCCCAGCUCCUAUAUGGCCUGUGUGCUGCUCUCUUGGCCCCAGUGCACCGUCUGCUCUGUGAACUUCUCCCUCCAGGCCCCUCUUACCCCACGCGUGUCUGUUCCCCUCGUUCUGUAGCGUUUGUACAUAAUAAAACAAUGUUGUGGAGACA